GACGCUGCUUGGCACCAUGCCAGCGCACCUGCUAUUUUGCGCACCUGCUAUUUAAGUGGAGGAGACAAAUCUGCUCCCUCCCCCUCCGCUUCUCCUUUGUGGCCGCGUGGAUUGUUUGGCGUGGCAGCUCGCGCAUCACACUCUCUACCAGACAGCUGACGCCCGGUGCGUUUGAGGAGGAUUGGCUCCUCCGGAGGUUCCCGGUCUUGCAGUGUUGCAACUAUUGUGGGAUUUGGCCGUGGGAUUGUUGGGUCU